UUAUGUGCAGGUGAUCUGGCUGCAACAUUGGUCACCCCAUUGAUCACCAGGCUUUAUUUGGCUGAUCUGGUUUGCUAGAUAGGUGUUCCCCUUCCUCCCUCCCCACUCCAUGUGUAUCCCUCCCAAAGCUAAGCACUCAGUUGAAGAGGAUGACCUUCCCUGAUAGAGGAGAACCAUUCUUUGGUCAAGGGUAUGUGAGUAGCUGUGCUCCCCUGCUAGAACCUCUAAACAAGCUCUCAAGGUCCACUUGUAGGAGAACAUAGGGUAGUCAAGCCUCCAAGAUUCCUAAAACAUCCAAAUGAGAUGCUGCAUGUAGCAGGCUGCUCUUCUU
ensembl:misc_RNA 7SK 7SK RNA